AAUCCAGAGAAUGCUGCUACUGAUCACAAUAGCAACAUUAACGCAGCACUUACAGCACAGGGAACUGUUCAAAGCAAUCUACAUGGGUUAUUAACCCAGGUGAUCCUCACAACAACCCCAUGAGGAAGUCCUAUUAAUACCCCCAUUUUACAGAUGAGGCACAGAAAAGCUAAUUAACUUGCCUAAGAUCACACAGCUACAUAAUUGGCAGAGUUUGGACUGCAGCCCAGACUCAGCUGGACUCCAGCCCCCCUGCUCUUACGUGGUGCACAACUCAGGCUGCACUUGGAGAGCCAUUAAACAAUAUUGAUACCCGGGCCUCGAUCUCAGAAAUACAGAUUUAAUUGAUCUGCAGUGGGGCCGAGGGCAGGAGUCCUUCUGAAAUUGCCCCAGGUGAUUCUAAUGCACAGCCAGGAUUGCCAGCCAUGCCAUUCCACCUCUCACCAUCCUGCUUCAUUAUCCCCAUCCCUCUCCCCUCCUCUUAGACGAUUCUGCCCUGAUCUUAGACUCUGCCUUGCUCCUUUUUCCUUCCCACACAAAACGGCCCUUGAGGUGGUUUGAAAAUAUGUCCACAGUUUCUUUAACACUCCUUCCUUCAAAAGGGGGAGCCUAACCUCCCCUGCCCUUGAGUGUGGGCUGGACAUACUGACUUGCUUCUAACGAAUGGAAUUUGGUAGAAGUAAUGGUCUGUGGCUGCUAAGACCAGGUCAUAAAAGACACUGCAACUUCCUCCUGUCCUCCUUUGUAAGUGGUAGAUGGCUCACUCUGGGGAACACAAGCUGCCAUGCCAUGAGAACUUCAAACAGCCCUAGGGAGAGGACCUCAUGGCAAAGAGCUGUGGAUUCCUACCAAAAGCCAAUGAAAAACAGAGGCCCUCCAGCAAGUAACCGUUGAGUGAGCCAAGUUGGGAGUGAACUUUCCAACCCCAGAGAAUCCUCAAAAUGACCACAGCCCUGCUGACAUUUUCAGUACCCCCUCGCCAGAGACCCUGAGCUGGUCCCAUCCUGCCAAACCGCUCUCAGAUUCCUGACCCUCAGAAAGUGUGCGAGAUAAUAAAUGUUCGUUGUUCUAUGCUGAUAAACCGUGGGGUGCCUUGUCAUGUAGCAAUAGAUAACUGAUAGAGGCGUCUCCUGCCCCAGUCCACCCCACCCCAGACCCUCCCAACCUUGACUUGGAGCUGGAGAAGUUGCCAGGGCUGCCAGAGAAAAGUGUUCUGACAUCGCAAGGUGGAAUUUUGAAUGCAUUUACCACAGAAACAUAGCUCCAUGCAUUUUACAUAUGUACAUGUAUGUAUGUAAAUGCAUAGGAAAAGUCUGGAAGAAACAAGCCAUGCUGUUAACAGUGUUGGAGCCAGAGACAGGAGAGGGAGUGGGAUCAGGGUUGGAGGAGGAAGCCAAGGGGAAUUUUCCUUCCCUUUCUGAAGUCGUUGCUCGGAUAUUUCACAUCGAGGAUGUAUCUGGGUAAAUGUAUUUUUCCUACAUAAAAGCAAGGGAAGUGGAAAAAAGACAAAAAAAAAAAAUGCGUAAUCAUACCUGAGGAUGAGUUCUGUUGGAAGUAGAGCAUUAGGAAGGUUGUUCCACAAGUACAUCAUGGAUAUAAUAGUACUUGGCAGUCUGACCUGACUGCCUCAGCACCAGGUAUACCACCAGAUUGUAGGCACUGCAGUGAUGAAGAGUUAAGAACACCAGGCCAUGGAGCUUGAUGCUCAUGUGUGUUUGAUUCCUGCUUCCUGGCUCUGACAAUUAGCAGCUUGGCAAGGCAUGCAACUGUUCUGGGCCCACUUCUUCAUCUGUAAAGUCGGGAUAAUAAUGUGAAAAAUGUUAAAGCUAAAUAUAUAAGGAACCGCAGACAGUAAAUGAUCCACAGGUGGCACUCAUUAAGUGUUACCUAAAGAAGUUCCUUUGUGGUACAGGGGGUUAAAAAUCCAGCAUUGCCUCGGCAUAGGAUGCAACUGCAGCUUGGGUUUGAUCCCUGUCCCAGGAACGUCCACUUGUCACAGAUUACAAGCUAACCAUCACCUGGAAGGAAGAAAUGUUGGGCAUGGCACUAACUGAUGUGUAUAUUUACCGUGAAGUUUACCCCAGGUGAAAAGAGGAAACCAGCUGUGUGAAUGGAAUUUGGAGAAAGGGCACAACCAUCAGACGAAGUGGGAGGAAGAAACAUUAACUUCAACAGCUGUUUCUUGACCCCGGCUGUCAGUCUUCCCAAGAAUAAAUUUUGGAGAGUCCUAUUUGAAACAAAGAGGGAGUUUUGGGGGAGAGAAAAGUUGGUUGGUUCCAGGGCGACCGCCCAAAGGAGCUGGGAACAAGAUGUUGGCAGUUACCACGCAGCCUGCCUGCCUCUGCCGGGUGCAGAGAUGGAGCAAAGUAACUUGAAAGCUCCCCUCUCGGCGCCCUGUGCCUGCAGCUUCCCCCCCUAACGCGCGCCCAGAUCCAGCGCCGGUGGUAAGAGCCGUAGCUCGACUACAGUAAUUCCCCAGCUCGGGCGGCUUGAAACUGCUCGGGCUGAAUAGCAUUUGCUGUUCCGUCCUGUGGCCGCCUCCCGCCGCCGCUGCCGCGCUCCCUGCAAAGCAGCUCUCAUUAUCCCGGAAGUUGUGCUGACACAGUCUCGCUGCCACCAGAAGUUUGUCAACAUCAAACUUCUCCUGUGUGGGGUACGUUCACCUUCCACGAGUAUUUAAUCGAGCCAACAAGCAAACAAACAAACCCAAAUAAACCUGCCCGUGAUGUCAUGGU